GAUCCUGGGCUCAGGAUGAACGCUAGCUACAGGCUUAACACAUGCAAGUCGAGGGGAAACGACAUCGAAAGCUUGCUUUUGAUGGGCGUCGACCGGCGCACGGGUGAGUAACGCGUAUCCAACCUGCCCAUCACUUGGGAAUAACCUUGCGAAAGUAAGACUAAUGCCCAAUGAUAUCCCACGAAGGCAUCCGAAUGGGAUUAAAGAUUUAUCGGUGAUGGAUGGGGAUGCGUCUGAUUAG
rnacentral:rRNA from 1 species